rnacentral:rRNA from 1 species
CCUACGGGGGACAGCAGUGGGGGAUAUUGCACAAUGGGGGAAACCCUGAUGCAGCGACGCCGCGUGGGUGAAGAAGCGCCUCGGCGCGUAAAGCCCUGUCAGCAGGGAAGAAAGUGACGGUACCUGAAGAAGAAGCCCCGGCUAACUACGUGCCAGCAGCCGCGGUAAUACGUAGGGGGCAAGCGUUAUCCGGAUUUACUGGGUGUAAAGGGGGCGCAGACGGCGAUGCAAGCCAGGAGUGAAAGCCCGGGGCCCAACCCCGGGACUGCUCUUGGAACUGCGUGGCUAGAGUGCAGGAGGGGCAGGUGGAAUUCCUGGUGUAGCAGUGAAAUGCGUAGAUAUCAGGAGGAACACCGGUGGCGAAGGCGGCCUGCUGGACUGCAACUGACGUUGAGGCCCGAAAGCGUGGGGAGCAAACAGGAUUAGAUACCCCAGUAGUC